GGAAACAUCAAUAUAAUCACUACUGUGUUGUUUUUACACAGAUUAAAUUAUGUAGAAGUGCAACUUCAAAAUACAUGAUCAGCUCUAAAAGAAAAGGACAUGAAAAUUAAAGACUUGCAGGAAAGGAUUGAAGACAUGAAAAAUAACGAACAGACGCAACAUCACUUGAGAUCUUCUCAUAAGGAAAAGGAAAUUGAAGACCUCAAACAAAUAAUAAACGAGAAGGAUGAACAACUUGAUAAAUUGAUAAGGGAUCCAAGAGAAGGAAGUUGCUCAACAAAAGCAUAAACUGAGAUCUGGAAAGCAAAAGGAAAUUGAACCCUUGCUGCAAAGAGUUCAUGAGAUGGAAGCACAACUUCAAAUAUCAAGAUCUGCUCUACAAGAAAAAGAUGAACAGUUGAAAUCUUUCAAAGACAGAGUGGCAGGAGAAGUUGCUUUGUCAAUCAAAACAGGAAACACAAUGAGCCUCAACAACC